UACGAAGGGGGGCUAGCGUUGCUCGGAAUCACUGGGCGUAAAGGGUGCGUAGGCGGGUCUUUUAAGUCAGGGGUGAAAUCCUGGAGCUCAACUCCAGAACUGCCUUUGAUACUGAAGAUCUUGAGUUCGGGAGAGGUGAGUGGAACUGCGAGUGUAGAGGUGAAAAUUCGUAGAUAUUCGCAAGAACACCAGUGGCGAAGGCGGCUCACUGGCCCGAUACUGACGCUGAGGCACGAAAGCGUGGGGAGCAAACAGG
rnacentral:rRNA from 1 species